rnacentral:lncRNA from 1 species
GUAGAAUACUCUUGAUUGUUCGAGGCGAGUCAGUUGCACAAAAAGGCGCUAUUGACUAUCGAAACCAGCUCUCAAAAUGGGUAACUUAUUAAAAGUGCUCUCAGUUUUUCUUUUGCUUGGCUACUCAUUUGCGCAGAUUGUUGAAGAUAUUUACGAUAAAAAUUCCACAGUGAUAACCACACGGAAUGUGACAGCAUUCACCGGAAAAAUUAUUGUGAAGGAAGUUAGUAAACCUCAUAAUUUAUUUAUUGGCAGAUGCACAAAAAAGUAUCCGAUACUUCACCAGGAAAAUAUAGUAGUAAAUAACGAUGGUCAAAGUAUACUAUCAUCAAAUAUAGUAGUAUGUAUAAAUUAUCUUUAUUACAUAAAAAAACGACACACUUUUCUAGAUAAAUGUAGAUGGUCCCGUUUCUAUAGCUUGUGUUAAUAUAUCCGAUGAGGAUCCAGAAGUGUCUGCGUAUCCCAGCUAUGUAUCUGGAGGAAUAGGCCACAAUUACGUGGAAUUCAAUGUGCAAACCACAUAUGGCAAAGGGUUCAAAUUUUACGUUCAGAUUUUUGGUAAUUUAACUGCUAAGCCUUACUCGUGACCCUACUUACUUGAAGUAGUGUUGCGAUGCUUCUUAAUCAAAUAUAUUACUAGUACAAAAAAAACAUAGGAAAAUAAAGCGUUAAAAAUCUAGAAGAAACAUACAUUUUUAUUAUAGACACAGUGAAUCUACAAUAUGUGGUUAAUUUUAAAAUACUCCUAGACGGUAUCAUACAGUAUCACAUCCAUUUUAUCACAUACACAAGAAUAUAAAUAAUAAAAAAACUAAGUAACAAAAUUAGCGAAACGGGUGCAUGCGAGAAAACUGAAAGAAAUAUUUUGGUUAGGUAGGAAAAAAUACAAUUAGCUUUGUACCAAAAAAUUCUAUUGUUAUCUAUUCUAAUCUUAACCCCAAAUAUUAAUCAUUAAUAUAUAAAAAUAGAUUUAAUAUAAUCACUAUUUCGCAUAUAUCAAUUUUCAGAUAUACAAUGUACAGAUUAAUUCACUGUCUGCUGGCUCGACGUUUGCAAUCAAGUAAUUGAAUUCUCAAUUUUUUAUUCGUUUUUAGUAAUAACAUAUAUAACAUAUAUAAUUUGUAGAAAAAACUUUAUGUACAGGCCUACACUCUAGCUAAUUUUAUUUAAACACCACAAAAUAUCACUACAAAUUAAGUUUUUGGACUUUAUACUAUCACCUAACACAAGAUAUAUUUUAUCUUUCCAAUACCGCAGAUUAGAACUCGUUUCCGCUAAGUUAAAAAGAAAAGUUUGUUAAUAAA